rnacentral:rRNA from 1 species
UUGAACGCUGGCGGCAGGCCUAACACAUGCAAGUCGAACGGUAACAGGAAGCAGCUUGCUGCUUUGCUGACGAGUGGCGGACGGGUGAGUAAUGUCUGGGAAACUGCCUGAUGGAGGGGGAUAACUACUGGAAACGGUAGCUAAUACCGCAUAACGUCGCAAGACCAAAGAGGGGGACCUUCGGGCCUCUUGCCAUCGGAUGUGCCCAGAUGGGAUUAGCUUGUUGGUGGGGUAACGGCUCACCAAGGCGACGAUCCCUAGCUGGUCUGAGAGGAUGACCAGCCACACUGGAACUGAGACACGGUCCAGACUCCUACGGGAGGCAGCAGUGGGGAAUAUUGCACAAUGGGCGCAAGCCUGAUGCAGCCAUGCCGCGUGUAUGAAGAAGGCCUUCGGGUUGUAAAGUACUUUCAGCGGGGAGGAAGGGAGUAAAGUUAAUACCUUUACUCAUUGACGUUACCCGCAGAAGAAGCACCGGCUAACUCCGUGCCAGCAGCCGCGGUAAUACGGAGGGUGCAAGCGUUAAUCGGAAUUACUGGGCGUAAAGCGCACGCAGGCGGUUUGUUAAGUCAGAUGUGAAAUCCCCGGGCUCAACCUGGGAACUGCAUCUGAUACUGGCAAGCUUGAGUCUCGUAGAGGGGGGUAGAAUUCCAGGUGUAGCGGUGAAAUGCGUAGAGAUCUGGAGGAAUACCGGUGGCGAAGGCGACCCCCUGGACGAAGACUGACGCUCAGGUGCGAAAGCGUGGGGAGCAAACAGGAUUAGAUACCCUGGUAGUCCACGCCGUAAACGAUGUCGACUUGGAGGUUGUGCCCUUGAGGCGUGGCUUCCGGAGCUAACGCGUUAAGUCGACCGCCUGGGGAGUACGGCCGCAAGGUUAAAACUCAAAUGAAUUGACGGGGGCCCGCACAAGCGGUGGAGCAUGUGGUUUAAUUCGAUGCAACGCGAAGAACCUUACCUGGUCUUGACAUCCACAGAACUUUCCAGAGAUGGAUUGGUGCCUUCGGGAACUGUGAGACAGGUGCUGCAUGGCUGUCGUCAGCUCGUGUUGUGAAAUGUUGGGUUAAGUCCCGCAACGAGCGCAACCCUUAUCCUUUGUUGCCAGCGGUCCGGCCGGGAACUCAAAGGAGACUGCCAGUGAUAAACUGGAGGAAGGUGGGGAUGACGUCAAAUCAUCAUGCCCCUUAUGAUCUGGGCUACACACGUGCUACAAUGGCGCAUACAAAGAGAAGCGACCUCGCGAGAGCAAGCGGACCUCAUAAAGUGCGUCGUAGUCCGGAUUGGAGUCUGCAACUCGACUCCAUGAAGUCGGAAUCGCUAGUAAUCGUGGAUCAGAAUGCCACGGUGAAUACGUUCCCGGGCCUUGUACACACCGCCCGUCACACCAUGGGAGUGGGUUGCAAAAGAAGUAGGUAGCUUAACCUUCGGGAGGGCGCUUACCACUUUGUGAUUCAUGACUGGGGUG